rnacentral:rRNA from 1 species
UACGGGGGGGGGCAAGCGUUUGUUCGGAAUUACUGGGCGUAAAGGGCUCGUAGGCGGCCAACUAAGUCAGACGUGAAAUCCCUCGGCUUAACCGGGGAACUGCAUCUGAUACUGGAUGGCUUGAGUUCGGGAGAGGGAUGUGGAAUUCCAGGUGUAGCGGUGAAAUGCGUAGAUAUCUGGAGGAACACCGAAGGCGAAGGCAGUGUCCUGGGGAGUACCUGACGCUCAGGUGCGAAAGCCAGGGGAGCGAACGGG